rnacentral:rRNA from 1 species
GAUGAACGCUGGCGGCGUGCCUAAUACAUGCAAGUCGAGCGAACAGACGAGGAGCUUGCUCCUCUGACGUUAGCGGCGGACGGGUGAGUAACACGUGGAUAACCUACCUAUAAGACUGGGAUAACUUCGGGAAACCGGAGCUAAUACCGGAUAAUAUAUUGAACCGCAUGGUUCAAUAGUGAAGGACGGUUUUGCUGUCACUUAUAGAUGGAUCCGCGCCGCAUUAGCUAGUUGGGAAGGUAACGGCCUACCAAGGCAACGAUGCGUAGCCGACCUGAGAGGGUGAUAGGCCACACUGGAACUGAGACACGGUCCAGACUACUACGGGAGGCAGCAGUAGGGAAUCGUACGCAACGGGCGAAAGCCUGACGGAGCAACGCCGCGUGAGUGAUGAAGGUCUUCGGAGCGUAAAACUCUGUUAUGAGGUAAGAACAAAUGUGUAAGUAACUAUGCACGUCUUGACGGUACCUAAUCAGAAAGCCACGGCUAACUACGUG